UACAGAGGUCCCAAGCGUUGUUCGGAUUCACUGGGCGUAAAGGGUGCGUAGGCGGUCGGGUAAGUCUGGCGUGAAAUCUCCAAGCCUAACUUGGAAACUGCGUUGGAUACUAUCCGGCUCGAGGAAUGGAGGGGAGACUGGAAUACUUGGUGUAGCAGUGAAAUGCGUAGAUAUCAAGUGGAACACCAGUGGCGAAGGCGAGUCUCUGGACAUUUCCUGGCGCUGAGGCACGAAAGCCAGGGGAGCAAACGGG
rnacentral:rRNA from 1 species